rnacentral:misc_RNA from 1 species
GAAAAAUGGAGAAAACACACUCGAUAAAAAUCAUGCUUCAUUUGAACAGAAAAAACCAAAAAUGAUUUGAAAUAGUCCCUCAAAGAUUAUUUUAGCUUUGAUACCAUGUUAGAAAAUGAAUACUCAAGUUUUAACACAGAGGAGAGCUCAAAAACACAACUUAUGAACAUAAAUAAAACAUAAGUUCUGCAAAAUAUGCAGCAACAAAAACAAGGAACCAUGUUGAAAAACCAGAAGAGAGAGGGAGUUGAAAAUGAUUCUCAACAAAGACAAAAUGUUCACAUUAGCAUAACAUAAAAAGAUUGGAGAUAAAGAGUAAAACUCAUAUUUCAUUACAUAAAACAGAACAUUUACAAAAGAUUUAACGGAGAUUUUCUUCUUCAUUUUUUCUUCAAUAGCUCACUCCCUCACUCUCUGCUCACUCUGAUUACACAGCACACACACAGUUACAAAACUCUAGCACUCUUCCUUUUAAUAGACAAAGGAAUGCCAUCUCCAAGUUAACAAAUGCCAUAUUUGCACCAUGUCCAGGUAUGGCUUAUAUCAUCUCUUGCACACAUAUUUUUCCACCUAAUUUUCACCAAAAACUCA